GACGAACGCUGGCGGCGUGCUUAACACAUGCAAGUCGAGCGGUAAGGCCCUUUCGGGGGUACGACGAGCGGCGAACGGGUGAGUAACACGUGGGUGACCUGCCCUCAGCUCUGGGAUAAGCCUGGGAAACUGGGUCUAAUACUGGAUAUGACUCCACGGUGCAUGUCGUGGGGUGGAAAGCCUUGUGCGGCUGAGGAUGGGCCCGCGGCCUAUCAGCUUGUUGGUGGGGUGANGGCCUACCAAGGCGACGACGGGUAGCCGGCCUGAGAGGGCGACCGGCCACACUGGGACUGAGAUACGGCCCAGACUCCUACGGGAGGCAGCAGUGGGGAAUCUUGCGCAAUGGGCGAAAGCCUGACGCAGCGACGCCGCGUGAGGGAUGACGGCC
rnacentral:rRNA from 1 species